rnacentral:lncRNA from 1 species
UGAAAGUCCAAAUGGAUGUCUUCAUUGAUCUCCCAGUUCAAAGCAGUUAAUUUCUCUUCUAUUCUAUGGAAUACAAAAUGACUUUAUUUCAAUGGUACAAUGUUUCUUUUCCUCCAGGUGUGUCCCAGUAUACUUGCAUCUUGGUCACAAAAACAAAACUAAAUAAAGAAUUCUUCUCACAAGACAGUGUGUGUGCACUGUGUGGUGUGCCUGCGUGCGUGUGUGUGUGUGUGUCUUGGGCAAACAAACUGAUCCUUUUCUUUGCCUUUUAAGAGAAAGAUUUGCUUUUUUUUAUUUAUUUUUUUUGAAGAGAAGUGAUCAUGUUUCUUGAUAGUUCAGGAUAGUGGACAGAUCG